rnacentral:rRNA from 1 species
UACGGGGGGAGCAAGCGUUGUUCGGAUUUACUGGGCGUAAAGGGCGCGUAGGCGGCCAGCACAAGUCAGUUGUGAAAUCUCCGAGCUUAACUCGGAAAGGUCAACUGAUACUGUGCGGCUAGAGUGCGGAAGGGGCAACUGGAAUUCUUGGUGUAGCGGUGAAAUGCGUAGAUAUCAAGAGGAACACCUGCGGCGAAGGCGGCUCUCUGGAACGCAACUGACGCUGAGACGCGAAAGCGUGGGGAGCAAACAGG